UCGUGGCGGAAUGGCAGACGCGCUAGGUUGAGGGCCUAGUGGGAGAAAUCCCGUGGAGGUUCAAGUCCUCUCGGCCGCAUCAAAAU
rnacentral:tRNA from 1 species